GGGGGCGUAGUUCAGCUGGUAAGAACGCCGGCCUGUCACGCCGGAGGUCGCGGGUUCGAGUCCCGUCGCUCCCGCCA
rnacentral:tRNA from 1 species